AAACCUGCCCUACUGCAACUUGAUCCAUUUCCCCUUGCUCUGUCACCAGUGAGAAGAGACCAGCCCUGCUCUCGCUGUAAGUACCUUUCAGAUAUUGGAGGAGUGCAAUAAGGUUUCCCCUCGGCCUCCCUUUUCCCCAGACCAAACAGCCCCAGUUCUUUCAGUCGCUCCUCAUAGGGCAGAUUCUCCAAGCCCUUCACAAGCCUUGUUGCCCUUAUUUGGACCAGAUUUAGACUGAAAGAGAAAGUUGAAAAGGUGAGAAAGUAAGUGGAUGGAAAUGGCUUUUAAGUAAAAUGGAUAUGUUCAUAAAGCAAUAGGAUGCUACCUUUCCCCUUAUGUCCCUCUCAAGCAGAGGGCUGGGCAAUCUACAGUAUUUCUUGUGUCACAGUGACAUGAGCUGAAACGCAUGAAGAUAGUGUCUUUAAACAAAGUGCUUGUGCUGACAUUCCAGGGUGUAAAUUCCUGCAUGCCAUUUAUUUUGCAUUAAGUGUAGUUUGUGUGAGUGGCAGAAGGGUGAGCCAAAAAAUAAUCCAUCCUACAAAUUAAUGAGUGACAGUGUGGUCAGCAGGGAAUCAAUCUGCACAUCACAGUAGAUAAGAGAAGCAGCACUAGGACAGGGAAGGCAGGACCAUGCCAGCAUUUGCUGCACAUCAGGUGGGAACAUGAGAACAAGAAAAAUGUCUGGGGAUGAGGGGCAUGAUGGAGGUACAUUACUGUUUUCUGACUAAGGAACAACAUUUCAUAAUACUUAGUCUCUACCUUUUCAAGCUGAAAAUCAUUACUACAUCAAAGUGAAUGCCUUGAUGCUAAUAGAGCAAAUGUUUCAAUUUAGAAUGUAAAUGAGAAAAAUGUGCAAAUUACAGGACUUUUAAAGAACCAAGUGGCUGAUUGUGAGUGGCUGUCUGGAUGGAGUUGAUCUUAGUUAAUACAUUGAUUUUGAUGUAACUAGAUAAGAAGUAAUGAACUUAGUUACUGAUUCUGACAAUUUGAAACAAAUCAUUCAACGCAUGUGCUGUGUUACACAUGAAGCACGUUUUAACGUGUGGGGGUGGGAUUUUUUUUGCAUGUAUGUUUGUUUCCAUCUUGUUUUUCAGCCUCUCCCCCUUGCUCCCCGCCCUCCUGUAGUACUGCGGUGUGCUCAGACUCUAACAAAGCACAGUGAGGCAAAGGCUGAAGUUCUCCUUGUUCAGCGCUGGAGCUAAGCUGGUUUCUGCCAGCCUGAGGAUCUCACCCUCUUCUUGACACACAGGUCCUGACCCUCGGCUCCAAGAGAAGGUCCAUACAUCCACACAGAACCCCCCGGACCUCAUGGAUCUCUCUGCACCAGCUGGAUUCUGCAGGUGUAUAUUUGCAGUAUCACAGUCAGCAACAGCAUAAGCCUGGUAAGUAAAGUGCCCUACUCGCAUUCAUUCAUAUUCUUUCAAACUGAGAUUUCAGACAGGCAAGUGAAGAUACACUUCAGUUUUAUUGUUGUUUAGGCAUGGAUAGAAACAUCAAUUCUUUUGCACUCUUGGUUCUUGAAACGUGCCUACAGUGAACGUGGAGCAGUGAAAAACGCGGCUCCUAGGACUGAAGAUUUAAAGUGCAUAGGAAAUCUAGCAGAAUCCCAAAGGAUGAGAAGGUCUUCUAAUUCCUUUCUCAUAGCUGUGGAAGCCGAAGGACGACUUCUCUUCCUCCACCACGCUCCCGAGACAGCGGUACCAACAUUUUCAACCCUUCCCUAUGCUUUCCCUGAUGGUCUUUGGAGGUUUCUUCUCUGUGUUUAAAAACUAUUUGUAGUGUUAUAAACAGACAGUUGAUUUUUGCAUACUCCUUCCCAGCACUCUGUUGCAACUUUUUCCUGUUUAGAGUCACGCCCACUGCGAUUGGUUAAAAAAACGUGUCUCACUUGGCAGUGUUCUUGCACCAAAAGAAAAAGAGAUAUAUUUGUAUAUAAAGUAACUUCUUUGUGUGUUCACAUUUUGUUUUGGAAAAAACAGGUGUUUAAAAAUUUUAGAAUUUUUUUAACAAAAUUCUAAGAAGAAAAAAAAAAACAAACCAAAAAAACAAAAAACCCAAAACCUCACAAUAUUUACAGAGAUAACAUAAUGGCUUAGCCAUGCAAAACAAAUCACUUUGGUUUUUCCCCCAUUUUACUUUGGUUUAAAUACUGACCAAGAUUAUAAUUUCUUUUUUUUUUCCCUUCUCUUUGCCAAAUAAAACAGCAACAAAUCAAAAGUUUAGAGGCCUAUAACAGGAUUUCCCUCUAGUAUUUUAUACAGCAUAGAGUCUAUAGGACUUCUUACGUAUUUAAUCCAUGCCAAUGCACUACAGGAAGCUUUUAUUAAGACAUCAGUCACUACUGCCCAGACAUAUAACAUUUUACAAAUUUACAAGUAACAGUGUUUUCUUCCCCCCCCUCCCUAAAUAAUGCAAAAGUGGCAAAAUACAUUUCCUAACAUCCGUCUCUUUCUUUUAGUUAUUUAUUUAUAUUCUUUUUUUGCCUACCAGUCUAUAAAAACAUACUUUUUUUUUUUUUUUUUACUUUUUUUUUCCCUGGAUAUUUGUAAAAGGAAACCUGAUGUUCUGCGUGCUUUGCUGUUCUUCUCCAUCAAUUCGCCUAUUGCUUUCUUCCUAAAAUGAUCCCUCCGCGCAGAAUGAAACUUCCCUCUCCGUUAACAACAAUUCUCCGUCAGCCAUUCACCCUAAGCCAUUUUCUUAUCAGUACCAUUCUAUAAAUUUUCUCAAGCGUAAAACAUGUUUAUAAAGUUACAAACUUGAAUGUAACUAAAGAUACGUAGACAUUUCAUUGUUACAAUUAUAUGUACUGUUUGAUAAAUUAGGUACCAGUUAAAAACACUAAAAUUAUCUCAAGGUGCAUUCAAUAUCUGUAGCAUAGUUAACAAAACACACAAAAAUAUAUAUAUAUUCUAUUUUUGUGGAAAAAAAUGCAGCUUUGAUAUGACCACUUCUUUUUAAAAAAAAAUCUCCAAUUCUGACUGGUAUCUCUUUGAAGUGAAGAAAAGGUACAGUACUUUAAGGCAGCGGAUAACGUAAAGGAAUCAAAAUCAAACCAGAAAUCCAGUUCCUUAUCCUAAUUCUAACACGAAGGACAACAGGUAAUGUAUGAGUAAAACACACUCCUUGCUAUAGCAGGAAAGGACCAUGGGCCACCAUCUGCACUAUGAGUGUUUCAUUGUGUUCCUUGCUCGGUCCCCAGCCUUCUCCAUAGAAACUUUUUACUCCCAUUCUGGCUGUUUGCUUUCCCUCAGCUUUCUUAAAUACUCACUGUUAUUAACAAUUCGGCUUAUUUUUGUCACAACUGUCACCUCUCCUCUUUACUGUGACUCCUAACAAUGAAAAAAGGAGAUCGAUAUUUGCCUUUAGGACAAUCUUACGCUUUAGGUAUUUGCUACAAAGCAGAGUAUUCACUGAUAACAAUCAGAAUUAGACAUGUACCUGCCCAAAGGGUGUCAUAAAAACAAUUGAAAUCAAACCAUUACACUAUACAUCAGAAUAACAGCAACUCCCAGAACAAA